GUUUGAUCCUGGCUCAGAUUGAGCGUUGGCGGCAGGCCUCAUACAUGCAAGUCGAACGAGAAAGGCCCUUUCGGGGGCCGAGUAGAGUGGCGGACGGGUGAGUAACGCGUAGGAAUCCACCCGGCAGUGGGGGAUAACCCGGGGAAACUCGGGCUAAUACCGCAUGUCGAGCGUCGGCGUAGAGCCGGCGCUGAAAGCGGGGGAUCUCGCGCACGGCUUCGGCCGAAGGCGGAGACCUCGUGCUGUCGGAGGAGCCUGCGUUGGAUUAGCUUGUUGGUGGGGUAAUGGCCUACCAAGGCGACGAUCCAUAGCUGGUCUGAGAGGACGAUCAGCCACACUGGGACUGAGACGCGGCCCAGACGUCUACGGACGGCAGCAGUAGGGAAUCUUGCACAAUGGGCGAAAGCCUGAUGCAGCCAUGCCGCGUGUGUGAAGAAGGCCUUAGGGUUGUAAAGCACUUUCAGUGGUGAAGAAAAUGUCGGCGCUAAUAUCGCCGGCCCCUGACGUUAGCCACAGAAGAAGCACCNGGCAACUCCGUGCCAGCAGCCGCGGUAAAUACGGAGGUGCGAACGUUAAUCGGAAUUACUGGGCGUAAAGCGCGCGUAGGCGGCUCGUUAAGUGAGGUGUGAAGCCCCNGGCUCAUCCUGGGACUGCACUUCAACUGGCGAGCUAGAGUCAGUAGAGGAGGUGGAUUUNACUGUGUAGCGUGGAUGCGUAGAUAUAGUAGGAACACAGUGCGAAGCNGCUCCUGACUGAACUGACGCUCA
rnacentral:rRNA from 1 species